AUCUUUCAGGAGCACCUUUAAGCUAAUCUGUGUGCCAGCAGACUUUUUGCGUGACAUUUUCGUAUCUCGAACACAUUUCCCACGACUGUGUAAGCUGACUACUAAUAGUAGUAGUAGUAUUAGCAGUAGUAGUGCAAAGUCUCUUUCGUCCGAGGCUUUCCCGUCGCCUAUCAAAUAUCAAUCAUACAAUCGUUACAUUGCUUCCCGUGCACGAAGCCCACGCGCGCCCCAUUUCCACCUUCACAAGCACACUCUAUAUUUUACGCAUCGUGAAACACACGGCUAUGGCGCAAAAAUUAACCUUCCCAAUCAAUACCAGCCGAAGAAUUAAACGUAGCUUAAAGCAAAUGUUACCGCCAAUUUGGGCGUUUAGGCUGCUACGCACUGCUGCUAUCCCUGCUCGGCUCAAUGCUCUGUUUCCAUGGAAACUGACAACGCACCCACUUCAGUCACUCGUUACACUACUCUGGGCAAGAAUGGUUCCUCACAAUGGCAAUUAUGAAUCCGCAAUUAUGUGGCCAUAACGCUUCGUUUCCCUGGCCGACAUAUGGCGGCGCCCAGGUACACGGAACUGUGCUUUCAUGCAUUCGUUCGAGCUUCGGUGCAAUUGAUGCAAAAUAUUCGACUUUUCGCAGGUAAAUAAGGUCGCCCAUAGCUACGGACCGCUCCGGUUUUUUGUCUGUUUUUUACAGCACCAGUGAUCACUCGUCCGUCUCGUACACAUGGCCAUAGUCGGUAGCAAUUCUAAUUUUCCGAUUUGAAUGCCGAUCACAGCACCGACUGACCCGAUGUUUUUCAACAACCGGACCGACUGGACCGCCUGUGUGUGCGUUGGUUCUGUAUCGUAUUUAUUUACGAUUUCCACUUUUUGUUUCCAAUGACUUUGGUAAGUGGUGUUUCAGCAAACCACUUGGCUUCGUAUUCUGUACAAGGAACGCGAAGGAGACACGCCGCAUUAAUCCAUCUUCAAUGAUGGAUGAUCGGAAGGGAAGAAUUAAUUUCGCUCGCGAGACACCGACUGCGAACUGGACCAGUGACGCAUUAACGCCCUUGCACCCGCGGUAUGUGCUUGGGGGAUGGGAAUACUUCCUAGCUGUCAAGGCUUUCUAUUCGAUUCUUCCAGACAAAAGCAUUAUGCAUCAAGCCAUACAGCGCACACACAUAUUUGAAUACUACCGGCAUAGUCAAAAUGAAAUCAUUUCUGGUACAGGUUGGCCAAUAAUGCCAGACAAACGGAAGGCACUGCAGGUGUGCCGAAAUUU